rnacentral:lncRNA from 1 species
AUGGAUUUGGUCUGUCGGCGUGCUGCUAGCUGGUAUCUGUCCUGUCGUCUUCUGGAAAUACAUUUUAUAGAAGGUUGCCCAGCCUUCAGAAAAUACAAACAGGCAGACAGCUGCUGGAGCACAGUGUACAUUUAUGUGUGUUUCUUUAGCAGUGGCACGCUCAGGGAAAGCACAGCAUGCUUGAAUGUGUGUGUGUGUGUGUGUGUGUGUGUGUGUGUGUGUUUGCGUGGGGGGUGGGUGUGUGUCUCCGGAGGCUUCUUGCACUGACUCUCUCUCUUUCUUCCUGAUAUGAGAAAGGCACCUAAAAAGCAGCGAUUCUGCACGCACGUUUCCUCAAAACGGCACGGAACUGCAGAAGCAUGUUUAUGACAUAAAUAAAUAUUUCAUUAAUAUUUCAAAAAGUGUGAUAUUAUGAUCAUGUGACAUUCGGAUAAAUAUAUAGUAAGCAUAUAAUGUAUAAUUAGUGCUUUGCAUUGUCUCAUCAUAAUUAUGGAAUUGAAACAUUUUAGGCAGAUGGAUGGUAGGCUAAAAAAAUCAC